rnacentral:rRNA from 1 species
AUUGAACGCUGGCGGCAGGCCUAACACAUGCAAGUCGAGCGAGCGGCGGACGGGGGAGUAAUGUAUGGGGACUGCCCGAUAGAGGGGGAUAACUACUGGAAACGGUAGCUAAUACCGCAUCCUAUCGGAUAACCCAUAUGGGAUUAGCUAGUAGGUGGGGUAAUGGCUCACCUAGGCGACGAUCCGUCGCUGGUCUGAGAGGAUGAUCAGCAAAACUGGGACGGGAAAACGGCCCAGACUCCACCGGAGGAAGAAGUGGGGAAUAUUGGACAAGGGGGGAAAUCCGGAUGAAGCAAUGCGGCGGGUAUGAAGAAGGCCCUAGGGUUGUAAAGUACGUUCAGCGGGGAGGCGGUACCGAAAGAAGAAGCACCGGCUAACUCCGUGCCAGCAGCCGCGGUAAUAC